rfam:Gossypium hirsutum cultivar TM-1 chromosome 9, whole genome shotgun sequence
AACCCAUGGUGAGGGCACCUUCUCAAUAGAUCCUUGUAUCUCUCCGAUGCAUCAUAGAGUGUUUCUAGAUCCAUCUGCAUAAAAGAAAAGAUAUUAUUCCUCAAUUU